rnacentral:lncRNA from 1 species
UUUGAUUUUCAGUAGCUUAUAUUUUUAUGUAAUAUUUAGGAAUAUGGAUCGAAAUUGGAUUAAUUUACCACGUAUUAGUGCUGAGUACGAGAGAGGUGUAGAGGAAUUUAUACAAUUUGCGCAACGUCAUGAGGGGAGAAGUGACGAUGAAGUGAAGUUUAGAUGUCCUUGUGUGAACUGUUUGAAUGGGAGAAAGUUGAACGCAACUCAAAUUAGAGAACAUCUUAU